AUGAGUAAAAAGGGUCUCAAAAAAGGCAGUAAUAAGAAAAACCAAAAGGAACAGGGUUCCGAUAAUGAAAACAAAGAGCAUGAAACAAUCGAGGGUGGAGAUAUCGAAGGUGAACAUGUAGAAGAUGCAAAUUUGGCUGAUAAUACCAUCGUAGACAAAUCAAAAAGUGAUAAACAAGUGAAUAGUAAAAAAAAAAAUUAUAUAGACCCUAAGGCAUACAAUAAGUUUAAAAAUGAUGGAUCGUUCUUGGAGCAGGUGCUAGCAAUGCAAAAGCAAAAAAAAAUAAGAAAAUUAAAAGAACCAAAUUCGUUUGAUCCCCAAAAGAAAAAAACGAAGUUAGAAGAAGAAAAAGGAGAGAAAGAAGAUGAAAAACAAGUUGAGCAAAAAGGAAAAGAUUCUGAAUCUAGUGUAGAGGAUGAAAGAGAGGCAGAAAUAAAAAAUGAAUAUAUUGAAAAUAUAAGUAAAAUGAAAGAAGAAGGUUUUUUCACAGAUAAAGGCAUAGGAGCUGGAUUAGUGAAAUAAAAAAAAAAAAAAAUUAAUCGGUGUAUAUGUAUAUAUAUAUAUUUUUUUUUUUGUUAAUCACAAAAUUAAAAUAGAAAUUGUGAUGAAUUUGUACGUAUCUAUUUUUAUUUUAUUUUUUUCUUUUCUGUAAUUUUGAUUUUUUGAAAAGUAAUUUUUUGAAAAGUGAUUUUUUGAAAGAUGAUUUUUUUUUUUUUUUUUUUUAUAAUUAAUUUUGUUAAGAUUUAUUUUUUUUUACAAAAUAAUGUAUCACCAAAGAAAAAAUAAUUUUGUCUAAACAAAUAGUUUCAAACGAUUGUAUGUAUAUUACUUUUUUUUUUUUUUUUUAUUGUUUUACACAUUAUGUUUUAUAAUGUUACAUUGUGUGUAGCAUUGUAUUUACAUUUGCAUCGUAGCAUCAUUUUUUAUUUUUUUUUCGUUCUGUACAUGUACUUUUUUAUAAACACAACAUCAGCAAUAUUAAAUUAAAAAAACAAAAAUAUAUAUAAUAAACAAUAUGUAAUAAACA
rnacentral:lncRNA from 1 species